rnacentral:tRNA from 1 species
GGCUGAAGUUUAGGCGGUAAAUUGUAAAUUUAUUAAUGAAUAGUUUCUUUUACCGUAAAAU